rnacentral:rRNA from 1 species
CCAGACUCCUACGGGAGGCAGCAGUGGGGAAUAUUGGACAAUGGGGGGAACCCUGAUCCAGCGACGCCGCGUGAGUGAAGAAGUAUUUCGGUAUGUAAAGCUCUAUCAGCAGGGAAGAAAGAAAUGACGGUACCUGACUAAGAAGCCCCGGCUAACUACGUGCCAGCAGCCGCGGUAAUACGUAGGGGGCAAGCGUUAUCCGGAUUUACUGGGUGUAAAGGGAGCGUAGGCGGCAGUGCAAGUCUGAAGUGAAAGGCGGGGGCCCAACCCCCGGACUGCUUUGGAAACUGUGCUGCUGGAGUGCAGGAGAGGCAAGUGGAAUUCCUAGUGUAGCGGUGAAAUGCGUAGAUAUUAGGAGGAACACCGGCGGCGAAGGCGGCCUGCUGGACCGCGACUGACGUUGAGGCUCGAAAGCGUGGGUAGCAAACAGGAUUAGAUACCCCUGUA